GACGAACGCUGGCGGCGUGCUUAACACAUGCAAGUCGAACGGUAAGGCCCUUCGGGGUACACGAGUGGCGAACGGGUGAGUAACACGUGGGUGAUCUGCCCUGCACUUCGGGAUAAGCCUGGGAAACUGGGUCUAAUACCGGAUAUUCACUUCUCAUUGCAUGGUGGGUGGUGGAAAGUUUUUUCGGUGGGGGAUGGGCCCGCGGCCUAUCAGCUUGUUGGUGGGGUGAUGGCCUACCAAGGCGACGACGGGUAGCCGGCCUGAGAGGGCGACCGGCCACACUGGGACUGAGACACGGCCCAGACUCCUACGGGAGGCAGCAGUGGGGAAUAUUGCGCAAUGGGCGGAAGCCUGACGCAGCGACGCCGCGUGGGGGAUGACGGCCUUCGGGUUGUAAACCGCUUUCAGCAGGGACGAAAUUGACGGUACCUGCAGAAGAAGCCCCGGCCAACUACGUGCCAGCCGCCGCAGUAA
rnacentral:rRNA from 1 species